GUCGGGAACUCAAGGAGACUGCCGGUGAUAAACCGGAGGAAGGUGGGGAUGACGUCAAGUCAUCAUGGCCCUUACGAGUAGGGCUACACACGUGCUACAAUGGCAUAUACAAAGAGAAGCGAACUCGCGAGAGCAAGCGGACCUCAUAAAGUAUGUCGUAGUCCGGAUUGGAGUCUGCAACUCGACUCCAUGAAGUCGGAAUCGCUAGUAAUCGUAGAUCAGAAUGCUACGGUGAAUACGUUCCCGGGCCUU
rnacentral:rRNA from 1 species